rnacentral:rRNA from 1 species
UACAGAGGGUGCAAGCGUUAAUCGGAAUUACUGGGCGUAAAGCGUGCGCAGGCGGUUUGCUAAGACAGGUGUGAAAUCCCCGGGCUUAACCUGGGAACUGCGCUUGUAACUAGCAGGCUAGAGUGUGGCAGAGGGGGGUGGAAUUCCAGGUGUAGCAGUGAAAUGCGUAGAUAUCAAGAGGAACCCCUGCGGCGAAGGCGGGUUGCUGGGCCGACACUGACGCUGAGGCGCGAAAGCUAGGGGAGCGAACGGG